GUGGGGAAUAUUGGACAAUGGGCGAAAGCCUGAUCCAGGCAUGCCGCGUGUGUGAAGAAGGUCUUCGGAUUGUAAAGCACUUUAAGUUGGGAGGAAGGGCAGUAAGUUAAUACCUUGCUGUUUUGACGUUACCGACAGAAUAAGCACCGGCUAACUUCGUGCCAGCAGCCGCGGUAAUACGAAGGGUGCAAGCGUUAAUCGGAAUUACUGGGCGUAAAGCGCGCGUAGGUGGUUUUGUAAGUUGGAGGUGAAAUCCCCGGGCUCAACCUGGGAACUGCCUCCAAAACUGCAUGACUAGAGUACGGUAGAGGGUAGUGGAAUUUCCUGUGUAGCGGUGAAAUGCGUAGAUAUAGGAAGGAACACCAGUGGCGAAGGCGACUACCUGGACUGAUACUGACACUGAGGUGCGAAAGCGUGGGGAGCAAACAGGAUUAGAAACCCGUGUAGUCC
rnacentral:rRNA from 1 species